UACGAGGGGUGCAAGCGUUGCUCGGAAUUAUUGGGCGUAAAGGGUUGGUAGGUGGUCUUGUUUGUCCAAGGUGAAAUCCCAUGGCUUAACUGUGGAAGCGCCUUGGAAACGGCAAGACUAGAGCCCUAGAGGGGUUUGUGGAAUUCCCGGUGUAGCGGUGAAAUGCGUAGAGAUCGGGAGGAACACCAGCGGCGAAGGCGGCAAACUGGAUAGGCACUGACACUCAACAACGAAAGCGUGGGGAGCAAACAGGG
rnacentral:rRNA from 1 species